rnacentral:rRNA from 1 species
GACGAACGCUGGCGGCGUGCUUAACACAUGCAAGUCGAACGGAAAGGCCCUGCUUUUGUGGGUUGCUCGAGUGGCGAACGGGUGAGUAACACGUGAGUAACCUGCCCUUGACUUUGGGAUAUCUUCAGGAAACUGCGGCUCAUACCGGAUAGGAUCUCCUGCUGCAUGUUGGGGGUUGGAAAGUUUCGGCGGUUGGGGAUGGACUCGCGGCUUAUCCGCUUGUUGGUGGGGUAGGGGCUUACCAAGCCUUUGACGGGUAGCCGGCCUGAGAGGGUGACCGGCGACAAUGGGACUGAGGGAGGGCGCAGUAUGGUAUGGGAGGCAACGGGGGGGAAUAUUGCGGAAUGGGGGGGAGCCAGAUGCGACAACGCCGGGUGCGGGAAGACGGGCUUCGGGGUGUGAACCGCUUUCGCCUGUAACAAAGCGGGAGUGACGGUAAUGGGUAAAAAAGCAACGGCUAACUACGUG